rnacentral:rRNA from 1 species
UUAAGUUGUUGCGGUAAAAAGCUCGUAGUUGGAUUUCUGUUGAGGACGUCCGGUCCGUACCAUGUACGCGCAUCUGGCUCGGCCUCGGCAUCCUCUCGAUAGACGUUUCUGCGCUUGAUUGCGUGGAGCGGAUUUCGGGACUUUUACUUUGAGGAAAUUAGAGUGUUCACGGCAGGCUAUCGCCAGAAUACAUUAGCAUGGAAUAAUAUUAUAGGAUCUCGGUUCUAUUUUGUUGGUUUCUAGUACCGGGGUAAUGAUUAAUAGGGACAAUUGGGGGCAUUUGUAUCAACACGUCAGAGGUGGAAUUCUUUGAUUGUGUUGCGACAAACUACUGCGAAAGCAUUUGCCAAGGAUGUUUCCAUUGAUCAAGAACGAAAGUAAGGGGAUCGAAGACGAUUAGAUACCGUCGUAGUCUUUACCAUAAACUAUGCCGACUAGAGAUGGGGCAUCGUUCACUUACGACUUGCUCCAGAUCUUAUGAGAUAUCAAAGUCUUUGGGUUCCGGGGGGAGUAUGGUCG